GUCUAUGGCCAUGCUACCCUGAACAAGCCCAAUCCUGUCUGAUCUCAAAAACUAAGCAGAGUUGGGCCUGGUUAGUACUUGGAUGGGAGACCACCUAGGAAGACCAGGUGCCGUAGGCA
rnacentral:rRNA from 1 species